rnacentral:rRNA from 1 species
GUUGUUGCAGUUAAAAAGCUCGUAGUCGGAUUUUGGCUGAGAACGGUCGGUCCGCCGUUAGGUGUGCACUGACUGGUCUCAGCUUCCUGGUGAGGAGGUGUGCUUC